rnacentral:lncRNA from 10 species
GGCGGGCCGCGCGGAGCCUCAUUUCCCCAAACGCAGGCGCUCGGUGGCGGUAGCCGCGGUUGUUGGCCGACCGAGUGCCGGUCAUAAGCCCCCCCCGGUGGGGGGCAGCUGGUGUGCGGAUCGCGGCGGGAGAGAGGCGCGGUAGGAACGGGUCCCCGGAGCCGUGAACCGCGGGUACAGGUGUCCUGUCUGCGCUCUCUGCCAAGCCGGCUUGCUUCCUGAUCUGUUGCUAGGGCCGCUGGACCCCGUUGCUAAGGACCCUUGAGAUCUCUCUUUCAGAUACCCAAAUCCACCCAUGCCAAAGUCCUCCAGUCUGCUCUCCGUAUCCGUGGUUGGGUCAAAUCUAUAGAUGUGGAACCCGCAUAUACGGAGAGCCAACUGUAAUUUGUCGUUAAGUUUGUUACAGGAACAACUUUUUGACGUGAAGGAAGAUAGAAAUUUAGCCAUAAAAUUCCAUCCAAAACUUCCACUGAAUUGGAGCUUCUCAAAACAGAAGU